AGUUGUAAAAUGUUGCUCAUGAAAG
rnacentral:misc_RNA from 1 species